rnacentral:rRNA from 1 species
UAGGGAAUCUACCACAAUGGACGAUAGUCUGAUGGAGCAACGCCGCGUGAGUGAAGAAGGGUAUCGGCUAGUAAAACUCUGUUGUUAAAGAAGAACAUAUCUGAGAGUAACUGUUCAGGUAUUGACGGUAUUUAACCAGAAAGCCACGGCUAACUACGUGUCAG